rnacentral:hammerhead_ribozyme from 1 species
AGCAGCUGACGAGUCCCAAAUAGGACGAAACGCGCGUCCUGGAU